GCGGAGCGGAGCCCCGUGGCCGGCCGGCGGAGGCGGAGGCGGCCGGGUGGGCUCCGGCGGGGGCCGCCGCCUCUCCGGGGGAGCCGAGCGAGCCGCCAGAUGAUCGGGAGGCGGUCCCUGCUCGGCCUCACCUUUUGCACCUGCUACCUGGCUUCUCACCUCACGAACAAGUAUGUCCUGUCUGUCCUGAAAUUUACCUACCCUACGUUAUUCCAAGGGUGGCAGACACUCCUCGGUGGACUUCUACUUCAUGUGUCCUGGAAACUGGGCUGGGUGGAGAUCAACAGCAGCUUGAGAUCUAAUGUUUUGGCAUGGCUUCCUGCUUCAGUGCUGUUCGUGGGUAUAAUCUACGCAGGGUCCAGAGCUUUGUCCAGAUUGGCUGUUCCUGUGUUUUUCAUUUUGCAUAAUGUAGCUGAAGUUCUCGUCUGCGGGUACCAGAAGUAUGUCUGGAAAGAGAAAACAUCGCCCACAAAGAUCUGUAGUUUCCUCUUCCUCGUGGCUGCUGCAGGGUGCCUUCCCUUCCAGGACGCGCAGUUUGAUCCAGAUGGCUAUUUUUGGGCUGUAAUUCACUUAUUUUGUGUAGGGGCUUACAAAAUACUUCGGAAAUCCCAGAAGCCCAGCGUGUUAAGUGACAUUGACCAGCAGUAUUUAAACUAUAUAUUCAGUGUGGCACUCCUGGUAUUUGCGUCUCAUCCCACAGGUGACCUCUUCAGUGCCCUGGACUUUCCAUUCCUGUAUUUCUACAGAUUCCACGGCAGCUGCUGCGCCAGCGGAGUUUUAGGAUUCUUUCUCAUGCUCAGCACAGUAAAGCUGAGAAGCAUUCUGGCCCCAGGGCAGUGUGCAGCCUGGAUUUUCUUUGCUAAGGGCAAGGAAAGAGGGGAGAAAGCCCAAUUUGGGAGAUUCACCAACCAGCAAGGCAGGCCCAAAGGUGUGGCCAGUUGGGACCAUGCAUGGUAUCCAUGGGGACAGAAGAGUUUCAUUAUCUCUGCAAAUGGCAGGUGACCACAGCUGCCUCGUCACUGGUGCUGUUUGACGUGAUCCUGACCCGUGCAGCUGUGGGAUGAACUUCAAAAUGAACCAAAGAAACCCAGGUGUUGAAUUGAGCAAGAGAAACCAGAGCGAGACUGCUGUCUGGCGUGAGGAAAUGCUAGCAACGCAGUGGUUGUCUGGAAGGAACUCUGCUCCAGACUGCUUCACAUCCGUGGAGCUGAGCUUCCUGCUUGGUGGACUUGGCGAGGCCCUGCUGGUUUUCUCAGAGCGGAGGAGUUCCUGAUGAAGAUGGGCAGGAAAAGCAAACACACACCUUGCUGCUGGAGCAGAACACAGCACUCUGGCCUCCCUCUUGAGAGACAGAGAAGGAACACACUACAGAGAGACCAAGCUGAACUCAGUGUUUGCUGAUGAUCCAAACACCCCGCUUUCUCAUUGCUUGGGGGAGGGUUCCCCAGGGGCCCCAUGCUGGACCAUCUCCACUCUGCUGCACCCAGUUCUGCAGUCAGGAAGCAGAGGAUCCUAACGGGCUGGCUGCCUCCUCUGGACGGACCGUAGCCUCCCGCACUAAGUCCGCCUUCCACCCGACACCAGUUGCGGUCACAGUCCCAUGCAGCCUUGUUGCAUUUUUCUCAUGUCGUUUUGUGUCUUUACAUCUUGGAGUUUCUUCUGUUCUUUGAUUUUUCUGGUUUACCUGGAGCCCACACCACCCACAGAAAACAAGACUUGUAUGCUCCUGAGGGCCAUGUAGGGCAGGGCAGGUGUGGGGGCUGAGCCGGGGUUCUGGACCAAGUGAGACACCAGGAAAAACCUCUAGACUGUUCUGAGUGGAGGCCUUUUGACUGAUGUUGAUUUAUUUCCAGCUUCUAAAUUUUUCUUGGUUCUUGUGAAUUUGUCAGGAUGUGUUGAAUUCUGUAGACUCGUGACCACCAUUAGGUUAAGCUGGUGACUAACCAAUUACCUGAAGCCUUUUAAGUACUAGGUGGGUCUUAAACACCUCACCUGCUCUGCCUCCUGAGUGCCGAGACUUCAGGCAAUUCUUGAAUACAUGGAAUGGCUUCACAUCUCAGACGAGGUCUCAAGGCACUGAACCUGGGUUUUCUCUCUCACACCAGAUGAAAUGAUUGGAGCGAAGCCCACACCUUACCACCAGAGAAGAAACUACACAAACAGUCGCUAAAGGAAGUCAUGUUUCAGUGUAGAUAUUUCUUCUCACUGAUUUUACAAAUACUUGAUUCUGGCAAGUGCCACAGGGUUUUGGUCAUACUGAGGUCACUUCACCAGCCCUGAAGUAUAGGAGAACUGUGUCAUUGUUAGAGACCCUUGGGGCUCUGGGAACUUGCCCAGGCUCAGUCCGAGGAAGGAUAAAGUCAGCUCCAUUAUCGCUGAAUGUUUUCUCCAACUUGUUGGAAAACAAAGAAAAUGAAACAAUAGAAUAGAUUUAUGUAUUAAGAAUGUGAGGAUCUUUAGCUCAUGUCUUUUUCUGGCCUCUGCUUAUCAUUUAAGGUAAAAAUGUUCCAAGACUUAAUGCUUAUAUAGUUUGCAAUUCACUUUCUUAGAGUAUUUUUUAGGUUGUUUGUUCUAUUAUUUUAUAUGUACUGUGCACCAUGUGUAUGCCUGGUCCCUGUGGAGGUCAGAAGAGGGCAUCAGAUCCACAAAAACUGGAGUUACAGACAGCUGUGAGCUGCCAUGUGGGUGCUGGGAAGUGAACUCAUGUACUCUGCAAGAGUAACAAAUGCUUUAACCACUGAGCCAACUCUCCAGCCCUGCAACUUGCUUUUAAAAAGCAUUUUUAUUUUGAAUUACGUGUAUGUUUGUAAGUAUGUGCACAGUGGGUGCCCCAAGGAGGCCAGAAGGGAAUAUUGGAUGCCCUGGAGAAGGAGUUAGAGGAGGUUGUGAGCUGCCUGAGUGGGUGCUGGUGAGUCUUGCCGGAGACAGACUCCGGACCUCUGCAAGAGGAUGCUCUUACCUGCCGAGUGUGGCUCCCCGGUCUAGAACCCACUUUUGUUCUUCAUCUAGUGUAGCAACUAGUGAGUAUGUAGUAAUUAAUGUCCUGUGAGAGAGAACCUGGGUUUAGCAUUUUUCUUUUUAAUUCCCACAAACUUCUCUACUGCUACCCCUCCUCCAAAUGUCAUCCUGUGUCUAUCCUGCCAAAUGUCAUUUAAGCGGAUGGCGAGUCCUCAGCUCCAACCACACAGCGCUCAACCCAGCCCCAUCUCUAGCUGGGUUUCUUAAUUCUUGGGUGUUUUCGUACUGUGAUGAUAGGGUGAGACAGAGGAGCGGUUGCUCCUUCAAUACACCGACCUGUGUCCCCCAGCUCCAUGACCUGUGUCCCCCAG